UAGGUGAACCUGCGGAAGGAUCAUUAAUGAAUGCAAAUGGCGAAGGGGGGAGGAGCAUGGGAAUGCUGUCGCUGGUCUCUAGUACUAGACUGGAGGCAUGUGCACGCUACUACCAUGGGAUCCCUCGACGUCUUUCAUCAUCUAUCACCUGUGCACCUAAUGUAGGUUGGUACGGUUCUGGUGAAACGGAAUCGGAGAACCUAUGUCUUCAUAUACGUCUUUGUGUAGAAAGUCUCUGAAUGUUUACUAUCAGAGAGUCGCGACUUCUAGGAGACGUGAAUCUUUGAGUCAAAAGUUAUUACAACUUUCAGCAAUGGAUCUCUUGGCUCUCGCAUCGAUGAAGAACGCAGCGAAACGCGAUAUGUAAUGUGAAUUGCAGAUCUACAGUGAAUCAUCGAAUCUUUGAACGCACCUUGCGCUCCUUGGUAUUCCGAGGAGCAUGCCUGUUUGAGUGUCAGUAAUUUCUCAACCCCUCUUGAUUUGAUUCGAGGGGGAGCUUGGAUGGUGGGGGUUUUGCCGUAGACUUGGGCCAAGUUCUUCUUGGUCUAGGAUUUGGGGCUCUCCUGAAAUGCAUUGGCUUGCGGUCGACUUUCGACUUUGCACGACAAGGCUUUCGGCGUGAUAAUGAUCGUCGUGUGCUGAAGUGCAUGAAUGAAGGUUCCGUGCCUCUAAUAUGUCGAUCCCCCUU
rnacentral:rRNA from 1 species